UGGGGAAUCUUGGACAAUGGGGGCAACCCUGAUCCAGCCAUGCCGCGUGAGUGAUGAAGGCCUUAGGGUCGUAAAGCUCUUUCGCCUGUGAAGAUAAUGACGGUAGCAGGUAAAGAAACCCCGGCUAACUCCGUGCCAGCAGCCGCGGUAAUACGGAGGGGGUUAGCGUUGUUCGGAAUUACUGGGCGUAAAGCGCACGUAGGCGGACCAGAAAGUUGGGGGUGAAAUCCCGGGGCUCAACCCCGGAACUGCCUCCAAAACUAUUGGUCUAGAGUUCGAGAGAGGUGAGUGGAAUUCCAAGUGUAGAGGUGAAAUUCGUAGAUAUUUGGAGGAACACCAGUGGCGAAAGGCGGCUCACUGGCUCGAUACUGACGCUGAGGUGCGAAAAGUGUGGGGAGCAAAACAGGAUUAGAUACCCUGGUAGUCCACACCGUAAAACGAUGAAUGCCAGUCGUCGGGUAGCAUGCUAUUCGGUGACACACCUAACGGAUUAAGCAUUCCGCCUGGGGAGUACGGUCGC
rnacentral:rRNA from 1 species